AGGAUGAACGCUAGCGGCAGGCCUAACACAUGCAAGUCGAGGGGCAUCGCGGUGCAGCAAUGCACUGGCGGCGACCGGCGUACGGGUGCGUAACGCGUAUCGCAACCUGCCCCGCACCGGGGGAUAGCCCGCCGAAAGGCGGAUUAAUACCCCAGUGGUCCCGGGGGCCCGCAGUGGGCAUCCGGGUAAAGCCUUGGCGGUCGGGAUGGGCAUGCGUGCCAUUAGCUGGCUGGUGGGGUAACGGCCCACCAGGGCAACGAUGGCUAGGGGGUCUGAGAGGAUGGUCCCCCCACACUGGUACUGAGACACGGACCAGACUCCUACGGGAGGCAGCAGUGAGGAAUAUUGGUCAAUGGGCGGAAGCCUGAACCAGCCAUGCCGCGUGCGGGAUGAAGGCCCUACGGGUUGUAAACCGCUUUUCCCCGGGAAGAAUAAGCCCCCCGCGGGGGGUGAUGCCGGUACCGGGGGAAUAAGGAUCGGCUAACUCCGUG
rnacentral:rRNA from 1 species